GGAGGCAGCAGUGGGGAAUCUUGCACAAUGGAGGAAACUCUGAUGCAGCGAUGCCGCGUGAGUGAAGAAGGCCCUUGGGUUGUAAAGCUCUUUCGUCGGGGAAGAAAAUGACUGUACCCGAAUAAGA
rnacentral:rRNA from 1 species